GACGAACCGUCCAAACGUUAUUCGGAAUUACUGGGCUUAAAGGGUGCGUAGGCGGCGCGGAAAGUAGGGUGUGAAAUCCCUCGGCUCAACCGAGGAACUGCGCCCUAAACUACCGUGCUUGAGGGAGAUAGAGGUGAGCGGAACUUAGGGUGGAGCGGUGAAAUGCGUUGAUAUCCUAAGGAACACCGGUGGCGAAAGCGGCUCACUGGAUCUCUUCUGACGCUGAGGCACGAAAGCUAGGGUAGCGAACGGG
rnacentral:rRNA from 1 species